UGUUUGUUGUCAUUUGAGGGUUGGUGGUGGUUGUGUGUCCAUUUGCGUUGAAAAAAAUAUAUACUUGUUUUUGAAUGGGGAUUGCUCCAGAUCUGUUAGAGAGAGAAAGAGAGAAUGGGGUUUUAGUGAUAGAAAUGGUGCUCCCUUUGCUUUAGUCUUUCUUUUCUGCUUCUUUCUCCCUUUGUCUAACUCUCAAGUUGAGGAGAGACAAUUAUAGUGCGUACUCCACUUUUUCUUUUUUCUUUUUUCUUUUUUCUUUUUUUUUUUGCUGUGAAAGCUUUUGCUUUUUUGCUUUCUUGAGGGUGUGGAAUAAGCUUUAGGAUUACCCUUCUUUUGCUCUUCAGUCGUGCACAUUUCA
rnacentral:lncRNA from 1 species